rnacentral:misc_RNA from 1 species
ACCAGCAAUGCCAUAAACUUUAGCCACAAAAUUCAAGCCCCCAGUAGCUCUAUUUCCUUCAGCAAUUCGUUGAAGUAAGCUUUUUACUUCCUGAGGAGGAUACACUACUGGGUCUUCACUAAUGUUAAGAUCCGAAGGCUCCAUUCUAUCAAUCUUUAGCACUCUGAAGAACUGCUUAUUCCUAUCACUCCCUAUUAAAUAAAACCUUGCCCGUGUUUCGUAGAGGCGAAACUUUUCGAGGGAAUAAAAAAGAGGGUUGAAUUCAGAUGGAUCAUUCGAGGGAUGGAUUUUUUGGGGUAGCUUCGAUGAAUUUGACUUCAUAUUCUCGGGUUUCGCCAUGGGAAAGAUGAAGAAACAAUGG